GCAUAUCAUAAGCGGAGGAAAAGAAACCAACAGGGAUUGCCCUAGUAACGGCGAGUGAAGCGGCAACAGCUCAAAUUUGAAAUCUGGCGUCUUUGGCGUCCGAGUUGUAAUUUGCAGAGGGCGCUUUGGCAUUGGCAGCGGUCCAAGUUCCUUGGAACAGGACGUCACAGAGGGUGAGAAUCCCGUACGUGGUCGCUAGCCUUUACCGUGUAAAGCCCCUUCGACGAGUCGAGUUGUUUGGGAAUGCAGCUCUAAAUGGGAGGUAAAUUUCUUCUAAAGCUAAAUACUGGCCAGAGACCGAUAGCGCACAAGUAGAGUGAUCGAAAGAUGAAAAGCACUUUGGAAAGAGAGUUAAAAAGCACGUGAAAUUGUUGAAAGGGAAGCGCUUGCAGCCAGACUUGCCUGUAGUUGCUCAUCCGGGUUUUUACCCGGUGCACUCUUCUAUAGGCAGGCCAGCAUCAGUUUGGGCGGUUGGAUAAAGGUCUCUGUCACGUACCUCCUCUCGGGGAGAACUUAUAGGGGAGACGUAAUGCAACCAGCCUGGACUGAGGUCCGCGCAUCUGCUAGGAUGCUGGCGUAAUGGCUGUAAGCGGCCCGUCUUGAAACACGGACCAAGGAGUCUAACAUCUAUGCGAGUGUUUGGGUGUCAAGCCCGAGCGCGUAAUGAAAGUGAACGGAGGUGGGAACCUUUCGGGGUGCACCAUCGACCGAUCCUGAUGUCUUCGGAUGGAUUUGAGUAAGAGCAUAGCUGUUGGGACCCGAAAGAUGGUGAACUAUGCUUGAAUAGGGUGAAGCCAGAGGAAACUCUGGUGGAGGCUCGCAGCGGUUCUGACGUGCAAAUCGAUCGUCAAAUUUGGGCAUAGGGGCGAAAGACUAAUCGAACUAUCUAGUAGCUGGGUUCCUGCCGA
rnacentral:rRNA from 1 species